rnacentral:rRNA from 1 species
UACAGAGGUCUCAAGCGUUGUUCGGAUUCAUUGGGCGUAAAGGGUGCGUAGGCGGCGCGGUAAGUCGGGUGUGAAAUCUCGGAGCUUAACUCCGAAACUGCAUUCGAUACUGCCGUGCUUGAGGACUGGAGAGGAGACUGGAAUUUACGGUGUAGCGGUGAAAUGCGUAGAUAUCAGGAGGAACACCGGUGGCGAAGGCGGAUCUCUGGGCCUUACCUGACGCUGAGGCGCGAAAGCUAGGGGAGCGAACAGG